GAUGAAGAACGUAGCGAAAUGCGAUAAGUAAUGUGAAUUGCAGAAUUCAGUGAAUCAUCGAAUCUUUGAACGCACAUUGCGCCCGCCAAUAUUCUGGCGGGCAUGCCUGUCUGAGCGUCAUUUCAACCCUCAUGCCCCUAGGGCGUGGUGUUGGGGAUCGGCCAAAGCCCGCGAGGGACGGCCGGCCCCUAAAUCUAGUGGCGGACCCGUCGUGGCCUCCUCUGCGAAGUAGUGAUAUUCCGCAUCGGAGAGCGACGAGCCCCUGCCGUUAAACCCCCAACUUUCCAAGGUUGACCUCAGAUCAGGUAGGAAUACCCGCUGAACUUAAGCAUAUCAAUAAGCGGAGGA
rnacentral:misc_RNA from 1 species